rnacentral:tRNA from 1 species
GGGCCGGUGGCGCAGCCUGGAAGCGCACCAGACUUUUAAUCUGGUUGUCGCGGGUUCGAAAGGUAGCGAAUUCCACAAGAUGAUUGGCCUGCCAAAGAAGGCCAUUGCGCAAAAAAAAACGGCGCCUAAGCGAAUUUGCCGCCAGAAAGUCCCGUCCGGCCCA